rnacentral:snRNA from 1 species
AGAUGUGAGGAUGAUCUGGCUGCGAUAACUAUCACCCCAUUGAUUCCCAGAGUGGAUUUGGCUGAUCUGGCCGGCUAAGUGGGUGUCCCAUUCCUCCCUCAAAGCUCCAUGUGCGACCUUCCAGAUGCUGAGUGCUCUGUCAACGAGGAUGACCACCCUCAAUAGAGGACUGUUCUUCAUUCAAGGGUAUACAAGUAGCUGCGCUCCCCUGUUAGAACUUCCAAACAAGCUCUCAAAGAAAAAAUUUUAAGGGAAGAUCUAUGAAACAAUAUGUUUCAUACAGGCCUUUGAAAAUUUGUGUAAUAUUCCU